GAUGAACGCUGGCGGCGUGCCUAACACACGCAAGUCGAACGAAGCACCUUACCUGAUUCUUCGGAUGAAAGUUUGGUGACUGAGUGGCGGACGGGUGAGUAACGCGUGGGUAACCUGCCCUGUACAGGGGGAUAACAGCUGGAAACGGCUGCUAAUACCGCAUAAGCGCACGAGGAGACAUCUCCUUGUGUGAAAAACUCCGGUGGUACAGGAUGGGCCCGCGUCUGAUUAGCUGGUUGGCAGGGUAACGGCCUACCAAGGCAACGAUCAGUAGCCGGUCUGAGAGGAUGAACGGCCACAUUGGAACUGAGACACGGUCCAAACUCCUACGGGAGGCAGCAGUGGGGAAUAUUGCACAAUGGGGGAAACCCUGAUGCAGCAACGCCGCGUGAGUGAAGAAGUAUUUCGGUAUGUAAAGCUCUAUCAGCAGGGAAGAUAAUGACGGUACCUGACGAAGAAGCUCCGGCUAAAUACGUG
rnacentral:rRNA from 1 species